AUUGAACGCUAGCGGGAUGCUUUACACAUGCAAGUCGAACGAGUGGCGGACGGGUGAGUAAUAUAUCGGAACGUGCCCAGUAGCGGGGGAUAACUACUCGAAAGAGUGGCUAAUACCGCAUACUAUCAGAUGAGCCUAGGUCGGAUUAGCUAGUUGGUGGGGUAAAGGCUCACCAAGGAAACGAUCCGUAGCUGGUUUGAGAGGACGACCAGCCACACUGGGACUGAGACACGGCCCAGACUCCGACGGGAGGCAGCAGUGGUGAAUUUUGGACAAUGGGGGAAACCCUGAUCCAGCCAUCCCGCGUGUAUGAGAAGGCCUUCGGGUUGUAAAGUACUUUUGGCAGAGAAGCGGUAUCUGCAGAAUAAGCACCGGCUAACUACGUGCCAGCAGCCGCGGUAAUUC
rnacentral:rRNA from 1 species